rfam:Faecalibacterium prausnitzii strain 2789STDY5608869 genome assembly, contig: SCcontig000002
CAAAAGGUACUUCUGUAACUCGCAGCCCGGUCAUAACGAAGACGGGGUGGCUGAAAUGCCAAUGA